rnacentral:rRNA from 1 species
UGUAUAAUGGGUCAGCGACUUAUAUUCUGUAGCAAGGUUAACCGAAUAGGGGAGCCGAAGGGAAACCGAGUCUUAACUGGGCGUUAAGUUGCAGGGUAUAGACCCGAAACCCGGUGAUCUAGCCAUGGGCAGGUUGAAGGUUGGGUAACACUAACUGGAGGACCGAACCGACUAAUGUUGAAAAAUUAGCGGAUGACUUGUGGCUGGGGGUGAAAGGCCAAUCAAACCGGGAGAUAGCUGGUUCUCCCCGAAAGCUAUUUAGGUAGCGCCUCGUGAAUUCAUCUCCGGGGGUAGAGCACUGUUUCGGCAAGGGGGUCAUCCCGACUUACCAACCCGAUGCAAACUGCGAAUACCGGAGAAUGUUAUCACGGGAGACACACGGCGGGUGCUAACGUCCGUCGUGAAGAGGGAAACAACCCAGACCGCCAGCUAAGGUCCCAAAGUCAUGGUUAAGUGGGAAACGAUGUGGGAAGGCCCAGACAGCCAGGAUGUUGGCUUAGAAGCAGCCAUCAUUUAAAGAAAGCGUAAUAGCUCACUGGUCGAGUCGGCCUGCGCGGAAGAUGUAACGGGGCUAAACCAUGCACCGAAGCUGCGGCAGCGACGCUGAUGCGUUGUUGGGUAGGGGAGCGUUCUGUAAGCCUGCGAAGGUGUGCUGUGAGGCAUGCUGGAGGUAUCAGAAGUGCGAAUGCUGACAUAAGUAACGAUAAAGCGGGUGAAAAGCCCGCUCGCCGGAAGACCAAGGGUUCCUGUCCAACGUUAAUCGGGGCAGGGUGAGUCGACCCCUAAGGCGAGGCCGAAAGGCGUAGUCGAUGGGAAACAGGUUAAUAUUCCUGUACUUGGUGUUACUGCGAAGGGGGGACGGAGAAGGCUAUGUUGGCCGGGCGACGGUUGUCCCGGUUUAAGCGUGUAGGCUGGUUUUCCAGGCAAAUCCGGAAAAUCAAGGCUGAGGCGUGAUGACGAGGCACUACGGUGCUGAAGCAACAAAUGCCCUGCUUCCAGGAAAAGCCUCUAAGCAUCAGGUAACAUCAAAUCGUACCCCAAACCGACACAGGUGGUCAGGUAGAGAAUACCAAGGCGCUUGAGAGAACUCGGGUGAAGGAACUAGGCAAAAUGGUGCCGUAACUUCGGGAGAAGGCACGCUGAUAUGUAGGUGAAGCGACUUGC